rnacentral:rRNA from 1 species
UACGUAGGGCGCAAGCGUUGUCCGGAAUUAUUGGGCGUAAAGGGCUCGUAGGCGGUUUGUCGCGUCGGGAGUGAAAACCUCGGGCUUAACUCGGGGCUUGCUUUCGAUACGGGCAGAUUGGAGGUAUGCAGGGGAGAACGGAAUUCCUGGUGUAGCGGUGAAAUGCGCAGAUAUCAGGAGGAACACCGGUGGCGAAGGCGGUUCUCUGGGCAUGACCUGACGCUGAGGAGCGAAAGUGUGGGGAGCGAACAGG